AUCCUGGCUCAGAACGAACGCUGGCGGCGCGUUUUAAGCAUGCAAGUCGAACGGUAGUAGAGUGCUUGCACUCUAUGAGAGUGGCGAACGGGUGAGUAACACGUAGGUGAUCUAUCUUGAGGUCUGGGAUAGCUUGUGGAAACACAGGGUAAUACUGGAUGCGACCUGUGUAUUGAGGUACAUGAGGGAAAGCCGCUUAGGCGGUGCCUUAAGCUGAGCCUGCGUCUCAUUAGUUAGUUGGUGGGGUAAUGGCUUACCAAGGCGACGAUGAGUAGCCGGCCUGAGAGGGUGAUCGGCCACACUGGGACUGAGACACGGCCCAGACUCCUACGGGAGGCAGCAGCUAAGAAUCUUCCGCAAUGGGGGGAACCCUGACGGAGCGACGCCGCGUGGACGAAGAAGGCCGGAAGGUUGUAAAGUCCUUUUCCUGGGGGAGAAUAAGGUAUGGAGGGAAUGCCAUACAGAUGACGUGAACCAGGGAAUAAGCCCCGGCUAAUUACGUGCCAGCAGCCGCGGUAACACGUAAGGGGCGAGCGUUGUUCGGAUUUAUUGGGCGUAAAGGGCGUGUAGGCGGUGAGAUAAGUCUGGUGCGAAAGAUCCCGGCUCAACCGGGAGAGCGCGCUGGAAACUGUCUUACUUGAGUGAUGGAGGGGGAGCUGGAAUUCCUGGUGUAGGGGUGAAAUCUGUAGAGAUCAGGAAGAACACCGGAGGCGAAGGCGAGCUCCUGGCCAUUUACUGACGCUGAGGCGCGAAAGCGUGGGGAGCGAACAGGAUUAGAUACCCUGGUAGUCCACGCUGUAAACGAUGUGCACUGGGUGUUGGACCUGAGAGGUUCAGUGCCGUAGCA
rnacentral:rRNA from 1 species